rnacentral:rRNA from 1 species
AGUGAACGCUGGCGGUAGGCCUAACACAUGCAAGUCGAACGGAAGCACAGUAAGAGCUUGCUCUUACGGGUGGCGAGUGGCGGACGGGUGAGGAAUACAUAGGCAUCUACUUUUUCGUGGGGGAUAACGUAGGGACACUGACGCUAAUACCGCAUACGACCUACGGGUGAAAGCAGGGGAUCUUCGGACCUUGCGCGAUUGAAUGAGCCGAUGUCGGAUUAGCUAGUUGGCGAGGUAAAGGCCCACCAAGGCGACGAUCCGUAGCUGGUCUGAGAGGAUGAUCAGCCACACUGGAACUGAGACACGGUCCAGACUCCUACGGGAGGCAGCAGUGGGGAAUAUUGGACAAUGGGCGCAAGCCUGAUCCAGCCAUACCGCGUGGGUGAAGAAGGCCUUCGGAUUGUAAAGCCCUUUUGUUGGGAAAGAAAAGCAGCAUGUUAAUACCCCGCUGUUCUGACGGUACCCAAAGAAUAAGCACCGGCUAACUUCGUG